rnacentral:rRNA from 1 species
AUUAGGGUUUGAUCCUGGCUCAGAACGAACGUUAGCGGUGUGGAUUAGGCAUGCAAGUCGCGCGAGAAAGCCUUCGGGUGAGUAUAGCGGCGAACGGGUGAGUAACACGUAACCAACGUGCCCCUUAGAUCGGGAUAGCUACUGGAAACGGUGGGUAAUACCGAAUGGUCCCCUGGAUGGCAUCAUCCGGCGGGUAAACGGCGGCUUCGGCUGUUGCUAGGGGAGCGGGUUGCGGCCUAUCAGCUUGUUGGUGGGGUAAUGGCCUACCAAGGCAACGACGGGUAGCGGGUCUGAGAGGAUGAUCCGUCACACUGGGACUGAGACACUGCCCAGACUCCUACGGGAGGCUGCAGUCGAGAAUCUUCCGCAAUGGGCGAAAGCCUGACGGAGCGACACCGCGUGUAGGAUGAAGGCUCUCGGGUUGUAAACUACUGUCACGCCAUAGGAACGCUGUAGGGUUAAGAGCUAUGCAGUUGACUAAAGCGAGAGGAAGUGCCGGCUAACUCCGUGCCAGCAGCCGCGGUAAGACGGAGGGCACAAACGUUGUUCGGAAUUACUGGGCAUAAAGCGCACGUAGGCGGCCCGUUAAGUCAGUUGUGAAAGCCCUCGGCUCAACCGAGGAACUGCAACUGAAACUGGCGGGCUCGAGGAAGACAGGGGUGAGUGGAACUCCAGGUGGAACGGUGAAAUGUGUAGAUAUCUGGAGGAACACCGGUGGCGAAAGCGGCUCACUGGGUCUUCUCUGACGCUGAGGUGCGAAAGCUAGGGUAGCAAACGGGAUUAGAUACCCCGGUAGUCCUAGCCGUAAACGAUGGGCACUAGGUAGUGGGUCCUAUGAAGCUCACUGCCGUAGCAAAUGUGUUAAGUGCCCCGCCUGGGGAGUACGCUCGCAAGGGUAAAACUCAAAGGAAUUGACGGGGGAUCACACAAGCGGUGGAGCAUGUUGCUUAAUUCGAUUAUACGCGAAGAACCUUAUCCUGGACUUGACAUGCCUGGAUGCCCAUCUGGAAACAGAGUAGGCUGCCCUUCGGAGUGAAACUUACACAGGUGCUGCAUGGCUGUCGUCAGCUCGUGUCGUGAGAUGUUGGGUUAAGUCCCGUAACGAGCGAAACCCUUGUCGCUAGUUGCCAGCGCGUAAUGGCGGGGACUCUAGUGAGACUGCCGGUGUUAAACCGGAGGAAGGUGGGGAUGACGUCAAGUCCUCAUGGCCUUUAUGCCCAGGGCUGCAAACGUGCUACAAUGACCGGGACAAACCGACGCAAGACCGCGAGGUGGAGCAAAUCGGAAAAAACCGGCCCCAGUUCGGAUUGGAGUCUGCAACUCGACUCCAUGAAGUUGGAAUCGCUAGUAAUCGUGUAUCAGCUACGACGCGGUGAAUGUGUUCCUGAGCCUUGUACACACCGCCCGU